CUCUGAUUCACACAUCAUGGAUUCCCUAAUUUGAACCAAGGAUUUGACCGACUACGGCCAGACUCUUGGUCCCGAUCUUUGCUUCUGUGCUGCCCGGCAGGAACAUGCUGAAGUUUGUGGCUGGUAGGGCUGGCGUGUGUGAGUGAAGCGGGGAUGGGGCAAAAAAAAAAAAAGACAAGAAAAUAGAGAAA